rnacentral:lncRNA from 1 species
AAACAGAUAUCACAUGUCAAGGUCCUAUGUAGCUUUCUGUGGGAUUUUACUUAGUAGACCCAUUAAGCAAAAUAGUUUCCUUUAUUUGUUAUGAAAUGCAUUAAAUGAUGAAUUUCUUCAUUUUUGAUUUAGGAUGUUCAGGAUUACACCUGUGAUUCUUCUUUAUCUCCCAAUACUUUUUUCUUUACAAAUUUCUACUUUUUGCUUCCUACCUAGGAGGAAUAAAUGUCUCUCUUCUUUCCAAUGCUGUCUUCUUAUUGAAUGGCAUUGCCACAAAAAUGCUCCACUAUUUUAAUCCCCUGCUAAGGUCUCUCAUCCUCCACUGCA